UGAUUUGGUCGUAGAGCCACGACCAAGGAAAAAUAAAGAAAGCUCACUGAGA
rnacentral:ncRNA from 1 species